rnacentral:rRNA from 1 species
CCUACGGGUGGCAGCAGUGGGGAAUAUUGGACAAUGGGCGAAAGCCUGGUCCAGCCAUGCCGCGUGUGUGAAGAAGGCCUUCGGGUUGUAAAGCACAUUCAGUGGGGAAGAAAGCCUUGGGGCUAAUACCCUCGAGGAAGGACAUCACCCACAGAAGAAGCACCGGCUAACUCCGUGCCAGCAGCCGCGGUAAUACGGAGGGUGCGAGCGUUAAUCGGAAUUACUGGGCGUAAAGCGCGCGUAGGCGGUCUGAUAAGCCGGUUGUGAAAGCCCCGGGCUCAACCUGGGAACGGCAUCCGGAACUGUCAGGCUAGAGUGCAGGAGAGGAAGGUAGAAUUCCCGGUGUAGCGGUGAAAUGCGUAGAGAUCGGGAGGAAUACCAGUGGCGAAGGCGGCCUUCUGGACUGACACUGACGCUGAGGUGCGAAAGCGUGGGUAGCAAACAGGAUUAGAUACCCGAGUAGUC